rnacentral:rRNA from 1 species
AUUGAACGCUGGCGGCAUGCCUAACACAUGCAAGUCGAACGAGUGGCGGACGGGUGAGUAAUGUAUGGGAAACUGCCCGAAGGAGGGGGAUAACUACUGGAAACGGUAGCUAAUACCGCAUACCAUCGGGUGGGCCCCGAUGGGAGUAGCUAGUAGGGGGGGUAACGGCUCACCUAGGCGACGCUCCCUAGCUGGUCUGAGAGGAUGACCAGCCACACUGGAACUGAGACACGGUCCAGACUCCGACGGGAGGCAGCAGUGGGGAAUAUUGGACAAUGGGCGAAAGCCUGAUGCAGCCAUGCCGCGUGUAUGAAGAAGGCCUUCGGGUUGUAAAGUACUUUCAGCGAGGAGGCGUUACUCGCAGAAGAAGCACCGGCUAACUCCGUGCCAGCAGCCGCGGUAAUAC